rnacentral:rRNA from 2 species
UCAGGAUGAACGCUGGCGGCGUGCUUAACACAUGCAAGUCGAACGAAGCAACUUAUUACGAUCCCUUCGGGGUGACGAUUUGUUGACUGAGUGGCGGACGGGUGAGUAACGCGUGGGUAACCUACCUUGUACAGGGGGACAACAGUUGGAAACGACUGCUAAUACCGCAUAAGCGCACAGCUUCGCAUGAAGUGGUGUGAAAAGUUUUUUCGGUACAAGAUGGACCCGCGUCUGAUUAGCUAGUUGGUGAGGUAACGGCCCACCAAGGCGACGAUCAGUAGCCGACCUGAGAGGGUGACCGGCCACAUUGGGACUGAGACACGGCCCAAACUCCUACGGGAGGCAGCAGUGGGGAAUAUUGCACAAUGGGCGAAAGCCUGAUGCAGCGACGCCGCGUGAGCGAAGAAGUAUUUCGGUAUGUAAAGCUCUAUCAGCAGGGAAGAUAAUGACGGUACCUGACUAAGAAGCACCGGCUAAAUACGUGCCAGCAGCCGCGGUAAUACGUAUGGUGCAAGCGUUAUCCGGAUUUACUGGGUGUAAAGGGAGCGUAGGCGGUUUUACAAGUCUGAUGUGAAAGCCCGGGGCUCAACUCCGGUAUUGCAUUGGAAACUGUAGAACUAGAGUGUCGGAGGGGUAAGUGGAAUUCCUAGUGUAGCGGUGAAAUGCGUAGAUAUUAGGAGGAACACCAGUGGCGAAGGCGGCUUACUGGACGA